UGUGAGAAUGAUGAGUUGCACACUGGUGGUGCCACAGUGUCCGGUGACACGGGCACCAGUCAGUUACCACCCUGGUGACAAAAUCAAGUGCACAGGGGCCAUCUGACUCACA
ensembl:snoRNA SNORD67 small nucleolar RNA, C/D box 67